UAUAUUUCUGUUUUGUCUCCUAGUAUGGCUAUGCUCUGACCCUGCCAAUGGGGGUUAAAUGUUGGCCAUGUCGACAUGUAUUCUGUGAUUAGAGAUCGAUCUCCCAACCGCACUACCGGUUACAGAAUAGUAGUAUUUGUGAUAUCUGUUCAGUGCAGCCAAUGGUUGCUUCUUCUGACCCAUGCCACUGGGGUUAAUUGUGGUUCUAUUUCUGACCUAUGCCACAGGGGUUAAGUGUGGUCGUAGCAUGUUACAGGAGACCAUUAAAAGUUAAAUAUUGUGAAUAUAUUUGUUCUGUUAUUUGAAUGCGCAAAUUUUGAAGUAUGUGAUUCCAAAUAAGAUUACCCAAUAUUUUAUCUUGGCAUUUGUAAAUGAUAUUUUGCCCUGAAU
rnacentral:lncRNA from 1 species